ensembl:lncRNA
GUGCUUAUUUACAUAAAAACCUUGCCACAGGCUGUUUAAUUUCCUCUGGAGCAUCUAUUCAUUUAGACAUAAAUUAUCCAAUGACUACCAGUUGACUUACAUUUAACUCCACCUCUGGACCUCUCAAGGGUACACCAGAAGAGAGCAACAGUUAAAAAUAACUAAAGGAAACCUAUCUGGAAGCUGUGAGUAGGUGUUCUGGCUGCCACGCAUACGCUGCCAAAGGAAAAAUAUCAGAGGCUUACUGUUUAUUUUCUUUUUGGUGCAUUUUAUACACAGCAGUACAAACUCUGGCAGCUCCUGUCUGACUGAAUCUUACUUACUGUGCAUUUUGGAUGUCACUGCUGUUAAAGUUUGAUUGUGUAGUGUUAGAUGUGGCAGAAAUGUUUAUCCUGUAACUUAUAAUGUCUCCAGAGGACAAUAAAAUGGGCAUGGAUUAUUUUUUUCUGCCUGGCAGGAUACUGGAAAUAAGCUCCUAUAGUGGAAAGUUUGCUGUGAGCAGGGCAGGCUGGUGCAGAGCUACUUGCUGUUCCCAGUCAUUUUGGCAACGUGGAGCAUGAGCUGCAGAACAGGGAGUGCUGACAGUGUGGAUGAACGGGUGCAUUGAAGGGGAGAGCUGCUUUGGCUGUAUGGUACAUCUUAGGAACUAUGCUGCUGGAAGCAGCAUUUUCCUGGGCUGGGCAUGUGCUCCCGUCUGCUCUCAUCCCCCUGACCUCCAGGGCUAGUCUUUAUCUCAGACUUGGAUGCAGAAGAAUCACACAAUCACAGAAUCCCAGAAAUGCAGGGAUUGGAAGGGACCUCAAGAGAUCAUUGAGUCCGGCUGUAACAGGUUCCCUACAAGAAGCUGCACAGGGACAGAAAUAACCAAGAGUGAAAAAGAUGUCUCGGUGGCCAACUAGUUUUACAGAUCUUCCCUGGAUGUUUUUGCAUUUGCUAAGAGAUUGCCAACCAUCCACUUGACCCUGCACCUCUGCACUUCUGAUUAACUCAAACUGGACCCAACUUUGCUGAAGAAUCACAGAAUUGCAGGGGUUGGAAGAGACUUCAGGAGAUUGAGUCCAACCCCCCUGCUAAAACAGGCACAGGCAGAGCUCCCACGGAGAAACAUGGGAGGCCCAAAAUGAAUGAUGGAGGAUGGAGGCUUUCAAACAAAGAAACCACAGAUGGAGGCAAGGGAAGACUGUGCUUCUGCCAUACAAAAAGUUCCACUGAGGUGACUACCUCCAAAGACAUUCUGAAGAUAAUUGAGUAAGUGGGUGCGUACCUAUGUACAGAAUAGCAAAAGGCGUUUUGCCCUGUUCUACUUGCUGAACAAUGUUUGCUUGAGAUGUUACAGCAAGGUGAAAAGUUUGUAUUUCCUGCUCCUGCAUUUUAGGCACUGCAUUAUUUCUUCUUAUAUUCACCACUCUUUCACAUGAAGAUAAAGUAGCUGAACAACAGGAGGAAUUAAUAUGACUGUUUUGUUAUUGAAAAAUGCUCAUUAUGGAACUAAGCAUAAAAAUAUUAGUUGAUUUAAACCGACAGAUUGUAACUCUGGAGGAAAUGUAAAGGACCUAGGCUAAACGGCAACAUCUCCAUAUUCUCUUAGAACAAUGCCUUUGGUUAAGUUAAAACUGUGAAAUUGGCCUGGAUCUAUUAGUGACAGCUAUAUUUUAUUAUGAGGCUCAGUUAUAUAAUAAAUGUCAAUCAUUUGUUUUCUUUUAUUGUUUUAAUCAGAAAGGCUUGAAUGCUUGUGAAGAGUCUAAGGGAAAGGGAGUCAUUUGUGUCAGUAAUUUAAUAUCAGAUUUUGUGAGUAAAGAUAAAUGCUGCAUUUAGUUUUGAAAACCAGACACAAGGGCCAGACUACUCCAAUAUAUUCCCUUUUUACUCCUGUUCUAUCACUGAAUCUGGGAUAUACUACUUUCUAUAGAACCACUGAAGAGGCUGGUAAUUUUCAUUCUAUCAUGUUAUAUUAACAGCGUGUCCUUCCCUGUAUCUUUG